UAAUACGAAGGGAGCGAGCGUUGUUCGGAAUCACUGGGCGUAAAGCGUGCGUAGGCGGUUUUAUAAGUCAGAAGUGAAAGCCUGGGGCUCAACCUCAGAAUUGCUUUUGAGACUGUAAAGCUAGAAUCCUGGAGAGGUUAGUGGAAUUCCGAGUGUAGAGGUGAAAUUCGCAGAUAUUCGGAGGAACACCAGUGGCGAAGGCGACUAACUGGACAGGCAUUGACGCUGAGGCACGAAAGCGUGGGGAUCAAACAGGAUUAGAUACCCUGGUAGUCCACGCCGUAAACGAUGUAUGCUAGCUGUCGGGAGUCUUAGGCUUUCGGCGGCGAACCUAACGGAUUAAGCAUACCGCCUGGGGAGUACGGCCGCAAGGUUA
rnacentral:rRNA from 1 species